rnacentral:rRNA from 1 species
CAGUAGCCACGGUAAUGCGGAGGGUGCGAGCGUUAAUCGGAAUUACUGGGCGUAAAGAGUGCGUAGGUGGUUAAUUAAGUUAUCUGUGAAAUUCCUGGGCUUAACCUGGGCAGGUCAGAUAAUACUGGUUAACUCGAGUAUGGGAGAGGGUAGUGGAAUUUCCGGUGUAGCGGUGAAAUGCGUAGAGAUCGGAAGGAACACCAGUGGCGAAGGCGGCUACCUGGCCUAAUACUGACACUGAGGCACGAAAGCGUGGGGAGCAAACAGGAUUAGAUACCCCCGUAGUCCCUGUCUCUUAUAC